rnacentral:rRNA from 1 species
AACGAACGCUUGCGGCGCGCCUAAUACAUGCAAGUCGAGCGAGAAAGUACUUCGGUAUGAGUAAAGCGGCGGACGGGUGAGGAACACGUAGAUAAUCUGCCUUAGAGUGGGGGGUAACUAAUCGAAAGAUUAGCUAAUACCGCAUAAGACCACAAGGGCUUCGGCUCAAGGGGUUAAAGGAGCAAUUCGCUCUAAGAUGAGUCUGCGUCCGAUUAGCUAGUUGGUGAGGUAAUGGCUCACCAAGGCAACGAUCGGUAACUGGCCUGAGAGGAUGACCAGUCACACUGGAACUGAGACACGGGCCAGACUCCUACGGGAGGCAGCAGUAGAGAAUAUUGCACAAUGGACGAAAGUCUGAUGCAGCGACGCCGCGUGAGUGAUGAAGGCCUUCGGGUUGUAAAACUCUGUGAUAAGGGAAGAUGAUGACGGUACCUUAUCAGAAAAGACCGGCUAACUUCGUGCCAGCCGCCGCGGUAACAC